GAUGCAGUUGCCAAAUGGGAAGGCGGCGGUCCGCAAAACCGCUACGAGCGCGUUCGAUUCGCGCCUGCGUCU
rnacentral:tRNA from 1 species